CUCAUUUCUCUGCGCCUACAAGUGUAUUUCAGCGUUCUUCAUUUUCCAUUUAUAUCCUAAGUGCAUUCUGGUAAAGACAGAAUUCUAUUUUGCUCUUAGAGAACACCUGCUAAGUUACUGAUGUUCAUAAAAGCAUAGCAUUAGAAUUCUAGAACCACAAAUCACUUUGAAUGGUUCAGUUCUACACCUCUUGGCAGCACUAUGUGCCCGUUUCAGAAUGGUGAAUUCAAUACUUCUGGAAUGCUCCAGGUUAUCCUUAAAUCAGGCCAGGGAGUGAAGAAAAUGAAAAUACAGCCAACUCUCAAUAAUAAUGGGAGGUGUAGCAGAAUCUCUUGUACAGAGCAGCUCUGCCAUAGUGCAAGAACAAAAAGAUUUCCUUGCUUUCAAAAGAUGAUAUAUGUCAAUGCCUCCUUGGACUUGUUUACGAUGACUGGUGUUAGGAAUGCUGCUGGCAGCCAUCCUCCUGCCCUGCUCUCUGCUGAGGUAGCCUUGCUCACUAUAGCCUUCCUGCUGUAGCUGCUGGUUUCUGGCCACUCUCCACAGCCCCUGACCCAUCUGCAAGCCUGAGAGAAAAGCCAGAAGCCCUAUGGAUUCCUCAGAGGUACCUGGGAAAAGGCAGGAGAGGGUGCGCUCUAGUCUCUUCCACCUCCAUUUGACCUUCAACCAGAGCAGCUCUACAUUUAUCUGUUACAAAUAUUGGACUUCCUCAUAUACAAAUAUUUAGAAAACUACUGACCUAGACUUCCUAUUUGACCUUGGCCUUAAAAUAACUUUUCCUGGG